AGAUAGCGACUUUUUCCCCGGCAAGCCUGACUGCAGCCAUGCCGCGUGAAUGAUGAAGGUCCUUAGGAGUUGUAAAAGUCUCUUUCACCGGGGACGAUAAUGACGGUACCCGGAGAAGAAGCCCCGGCUAACUUCGUGCCAGCAGCCGCGGUAAUACGAAGGGGGCUAGCGUUGCUCGGAAUUACUGGGCGUAAAGGGCGCGUAGGCGGAUCUUUAAGUCAGGGGUGAAAUCCCGGGGCUCAACCUCGGAAUUGCCCUUGAUACUGGCUAUCUUGAGUAUGAGAAGAGGUAUGUGGAAUCUCCGAGUGUAGAGGUGAAAUUCGUAGAUAUUCGGAAGAACACCAGUGGCGAAGGCGAGCAUACUGGCUCAUUACUGACGCUGAGGCGCGAAAGCGUGGGGAGCAAACAGGAUUAGAUACCCUGGUAGUCCACGCCGUAAACGAUGAUUGCUUAGUCGUCGGGCUAGCUAUGCAGUUUCGGUGACGCAGCUAAACGCAUCAAGCACCUCCGCCUUGGAGGAAGG
rnacentral:rRNA from 1 species